AGAUGGCAGAGGAGGCGGGCUGCGUCGAGGGAGACGAGGGACUGUCACUCUUCUCUCUAUGAACAGGGGUGGAAGGAAGAUGGAUUUGGAGGAGGGUCAUACAGUAUGGCAUCCUUUCCAUAGCAAUGGGUCGCCACUAUCUAGAAAGCCGCAGAAGAUUACAGCAUUUAAAGAGAGAACUGAGAUGUCCUAGGAAAUCAUAAUGCCCACUUUACAGUUAAGGAAACUGAAGACUGACUUGCCCAAGGUCCGAGGAAAAUAAAGUGACUUGCCCAGGGUCCCAACAAGGAUUCAGUGCCAUUUUCAAAUAACAUUCUCACUAUAGAAAAUAGAGAGAGUAUAGAUUAGUGUCACUGUAAUCUCCAGGGAGAGAUCCUACAGACAGAUGCUCACAUUGGCUCAGACACAGGCUUAAGGGUCCCAGGGGCAGUGACCUUUCUCUGGUCAGUGGGAGAGGUGACUACAGAAGAAUGGUGAGAGAGAUGCAAUGUCGCUGGCUUUGAAGAUGGAGGAAGGGGCCACAAACCAAGGAAUGUGAGCAGCCUCCAUAAGCUGGAAAAGGACAGUGAAGAGAUUCUCCCCUAGAGCCUCCAGAAGGGACCACAGCCCUACCAACAUCUGAUUUCAGCCCAGUGCAACCUGCAACAGGCUUCUGAUCUACACAACUGUGAGAUAAUAUAUGUGUGUUGUUUGAA